GAAAAAAAAAAAAAAAAAAAAAAAAAAAAAAAAAAAAAAAAAACAAAGAGAAAAAAAUUACAAUGGACGUUUCUUCACAAAUAAAAAUUUGUAGGCGAAUUUGAGAAAAUUCUAAAUAUGGCGGGAAAAUUAAGAAAAUUAUUUAGGUUUUCCUUUCUUUUUUUUGGUUUGCAGAGUCAGUGUCUGUGUCACUAAGUGGUUCCAACAGAUGGAAGACAAGGACUAGCUCAUGUAAUCUAAUCUGUCUUUGCGUGUUUAAUACGCCGUUGUUCCAUCGUCUAAAGCAAACCAUUCUAUUCUGGUUCUCCAAACGGAAGAAGAUGGAUAGGUGAGAGAGAGAAGAAACCCUAGCUAGCUAGAUCUCUCAUCAACGGGGGAGAGAGAAGACUCAUCUUCAAACCCUAACAUAGAUCCCCGACUCACCGGAACUCAGAUCAUAUCCACUUCUAGUUCUAGAGACGGAAAGGGACCGAAUCUUCAGAUGGAUAUAUAUAGUCUCCAAGCUGAAGAAAUCCAUCCGAACAUAUGAGCGGACAAGACAACCUUUUACUAUACAUAGGUAAGUCUCCUUAAGUAUGUUUCAUGAACUUGUUCAGUUGAAGUCUUGCUUCUUUUCAAUUUCGUUGCUGCUCCAUAAUAUAUAUGCAAUAUAUGGUGUGAUAGCUAGCGAGGUUAUAUAACUUAUACUAUAUAGGGAAUCUGAUUUAUGUAAAGUUGAAUAUGAACUUAUCAUAAAUUAAACCUCAAGACUAUAAUUAAACAAUGUUCUCAUCCAAUCCACUUUCUAUACAAGAUACUGACUUGCUGAUUUGAUUCAUAUUCCACGUACAAUCUACUUAAUAUCACUGCUUUUUUUUUGUCUGAUGGUGUAGUUUUCAAGCUAACCGAAAUAUUCUUCUUCCAAG
rnacentral:lncRNA from 1 species